CCNUAANCANCCNCCUNGGGAGUACGNCCGCAAGGUNNANCUCAAAGGAUUGACGGGGGCCCCACAAGCGGUGGAGCAUNUGUUUAAUUCGAAGCAACGCGAAGAACCUUACCAGGUCUUGACAUCCCUCUGACCGCUCUAGAGAUAGAGCUUUNCUUCGGGACAGAGGUGACAGGUGGUGCAUGGUUGUCGUCAGCUCGUGUCGUGAGAUGUUGGGUUAAGUCCCGCAACGAGCGCAACCCCUAUUGUUAGUUGCCAUCAUUCAGUUGGGCACUCUAGCGAGACUGCCGGUAAUAAACCGGAGGAAGGUGGGGAUGACGUCAAAUCAUCAUGCCCCUUAUGACCUGGGCUACACACGUGCUACAAUGGCUGGUACAACGAGUCGCAAGCCGGUGACGGCAAGCUAAUCUCUUAAAGCCAGUCUCAGUUCGGAUUGUAGGCUGCAACUCGCCUACAUGAAGUCGGAAUCGCUAGUAAUCGCGGAUCAGCACGCCGCGGUGAAUACGUUCCCGGGCCUUGUACACACCGCCCGUCACACCACGAGAGUUUGUAACACCCGAAGUCGGUGAGGUAACCGUAAGGAGCCAGCCGCCUAAGGUGGGAUAGAUGAUUGGGGUGAAGUCGUAACAAGGUAGCCA
rnacentral:rRNA from 1 species